AUUAAGACUUUUGCAGGAAUAACUUAUGAAAGUUGAACUUUGCAGGAAUAUAUCUGCUAUUCAUCAUGUUUGCGGGGACCUGUAUGAAUUAACCCAUAUAUAUAUAUAUAUAUAGAGUCUGGCUACUAUUCUCUUAAUAGGAUAGAAGCCUUUGUCAUAUCAAGUCGUUUUAGAUGAUUGAGACUUCAAAUUGAUAAACCAUUGAAGUGAUCUACACUUUUAGAAAAAUUUAGAAACUAAAUUUUAUAAUUUUUAAAAAUCAUUAUCAAGCCCAUCGAAGAGUCAAAAAAUGAACGGUUAAAAAUAAAUGACCUUCUGAAAACAGUGGUUAGACUUUCUCAAUUUACAAUCGGAGUUAUUAAAAAUUAUCUAAAUAGUAUAAAGAAUUUUCUAUCAAAAAUUCAAUCAUUUUGGAUUACUCUACAUUAUUAAACAAGCAAAUGGUUCAUAUAGGCCGUAAAAAACGGUCAAUUUUUUAAUCCUUUGAUCACUAUGUAAAUAAAUUUUAAAAUUUAUAAAAUUUAGUUUCUAGAUAAUUCAAAUACUCUAAAUUAAUUUCAACGGUUCCGAUCAUCAAUUUGGAAUCUCUAUCAUCAAAAACUAUUUGAUAGGACGAAGGUCUCUAUCAUCCUAAAAGGAUGGCAGUAGGGAUGCAAAUGGAUCCGGGUUGGUGGAGCUCCACCCCGAUCCGCCCCGACUGGGGUGGUAAGUGGGAACAAAAAAUAUAGAAAAAUAUAA
rnacentral:lncRNA from 1 species